AUUGAACGCUGGCGGCAGGCCUAACACAUGCAAGUCGAACGAGUGGCGGACGGGUGAGUAAUGUCUGGGAAACUGCCUGAUGGAGGGGGAUAACUACUGGAACCGGUAGCUAAUACCGCAUACCAUCGGAUGUGCCCAGAUGGGAUUAGCUAGUAGGUGGGGUAAAGGCUAACCUAGGCGACGAUCCCUAGCUGGUCUGAGAGGAUGACCAGCAACACGGGACCUGGGACAGGGUCAGGACUCCUACGGGGGGCGCCAGAGGGGAAUAUUGCACAAUGGGCGCAGGCCUGAUGCGGCCAUGCCGCGGGUAUGAGGAAGGCCUUCGGGUUGUAAAGUACUUUCAGCGGGGAGGCGUUACCCGCAGAAGAAGCACCGGCUAACUCCGUGCCAGCCGCCGCGGUAAUUC
rnacentral:rRNA from 1 species